rnacentral:rRNA from 1 species
UACGUAGGGUGCAAGCGUUGUCCGGAAUUAUUGGGCGUAAAGAGCUCGUAGGCGGUUUGUCGCGUCGAAUGUGAAAACCCGGGGCUCAACCCCGGGCCUGCAUUCGAUACGGGCAGACUAGAGUUCGGUAGGGGAGUCUGGAAUUCCUGGUGUAGCGGUGAAAUGCGCAGAUAUCAGGAAGAACACCCGUGGCUAAGGCGGUUCUCUAGUACGGUACUGACGCUGAGACGCGAAAGCGUGGGGAGCGAACAGG